AAUAGGUUUGGUCCUGGCCUUUCUAUUAG
rnacentral:piRNA from 1 species